AGUAUUGGUGGUGGUGGUGGUGGUGGUAGUGGUGGUGGUGGUUGCGAGUAGCGCGAUAGAGUCCGAUGGUGCAGUCAACGUUGGGACCGGUAGCCCAAAAGACACACGCGGAUCUCACGCGUUCUCUUCACACCCCUCUCGUCGAGCACCCCUUCUGACACCUCUUACAUCUUCGAACGGUCGUACGGCCCUGAAAGAAACGUGGCGUGAUUCGAACUACAUAUUUUCUCUUUCUCUCUCUCUCUCUCUCUUUCUCUCUCCCGUCUUAGGACACGCUCCAAGUCCGCAGGCAAACGAACACGUAGCAGCCGUAUACAUCGGCCAUGGUGCUCGUUUACCGGGCCGAGUGGUGGGUGUGUGAUAAAAAUAUAAUGCUGGUGACGCGCGUGACACGAUACAACGCGAUAUGACAGUUCCUUCGGUUCUUUGGUCGUCGUAUCCCUGCUGCGUAUGGAUUCGCGUGUGACCAGACGAUAAACGCAAUGUUGUGACGCGUGACACACCGCGCACCGGUCCGCACACGGCGUUUCGAUGCUCAGGGACGUUGCCACUGUUCCUUCGCCUCCUCUUCUCUCGCGCACAUCCGAGCAUGGAUGAUAAAUGCUCGAGCGAACGGUAAAUGCCAUCCCGGGACCCGAAUUUAUCGAUUUUCGUACACACGCGUAUCAUUUGAUCGGUAUAUGUGAUUUAUUCUACGUUCGGAUAAGCGGUGUGCUCGUUUUCGGUGUAACGUUUUCCUUGUUCACCAGGAUUUUCCAUUUCCACACCGUGUCACAGGUUCUCGCAGAAAUAUGACGCUACCGCUACGCGCCUUUUUGAGGACAAUGACCCCGUGCACCUUGCUUUCUUCCUAGUGUGUCUCACGUUCGUUGCUGAUUUUAACGUUUUUACUUUUUUUUUUCUUUACUUAUCUUUCCGCUCCAUUUGUCCGAACAAGGGACAUUUUCUACGGAGUUUAUUCUCGAAUAUUUCGAUUAUACUCGGAAACGAAUAAUUUUCAUUUCACCGACCUAUACGUUAUACGAUUUCGGAUUUAAUACGGAAAAAUCGUACGUGUAUCUUCCAAUUGCACCGCGACAUUUAACAACAAGAACUUUAUGCGACACUUUUAACAAUGUCACACGGUAUACGACACUAAAGUCAUUAGUAACGUUCCAACUAGACCGAAUGCGGUUUUUGCGGUACUUCAAUUUCAGUGGGUACAUGUAUAUAACGUUAUUUAUAGUUUGCAAUUUGUCGCGUUGAAACUAAAUCUCUCUUUAAACAUACGCAAUGAUGCGUGUUUAUAGACGUAGCGUUGAAAUAACAUCACGAUCUUUUUGUUUUUUCUUUCUGAUUGUUUGCUUUGCAUAAUUCCUAGUGCAAUCUAUAAUGUAUAAGCAGACAAGAAAUACCGAGAUAAUAUUUUUAUCUAAUCACAAUCUCUACCGAGUAUUUCUUCUUCUUUUUUUUUUUUACAACGUAAUGUCAUCGUAAUCUGAUCAUAAAGUUGAUUAUUUUUCUCCCGCAAUUUGAUUUCAUCUUAUGAAAUCUUACACGUAUGUGCCACCUACGUUUCCCUAUUGUGAUUUCCCUCUCUCGUCGCAUGAGCAUAUUAAUCAGUGUUGUGGUUUACUACAAUGCAUUCCAACAUGCAUAACACUGAAAUAUUCUCCUUUAUGUUCUCCCCUUCUUCCAUCAUUCUUUUACUCUGUGUCACUUCUCUGCCUCAAGAGCAAUCCUCUACUCUUGUCGAGUCUACUCCAACGUAUCCCUGUGUACAGGCUAACGUAAGAAUGAAAGGUUAAAAGCAUUACGAGCCGUGCAGUUCUCCCCGACGAAAGUACGCAAGUAAAUCGCAUGCUUGCAAAAUUUGGAGGAUUAUCGAUCGAACAUGUUUACACCAACUUUGUUAUAAAGGAUAAUCAAUGUUACGCGAACUAGUGAAAUUUAAAAAGGAGAAACGAGAACAGAGUUAAGUCCGUGUAGCACAAGCGUUGGUGAUCCCGUGGCAACGAGUGAGAUUCCCCCGCAGAGCAAUAAAGUGCAGCUUUUUAUUUUCCACUUUUUAGGACGAGCAUUCAAAGUGGAAAAAGAUUGUGUC